CCGGAUUUACUGGGUGUAAAGGGCGUGUAGGCGGGGAUGCAAGUCAGAUGUGAAAUUCCGAAGCUCAACUUCGGCGCUGCCUCUGAAACUGUAUCUCUUGAGUGCUGGAGAGGAAAGCGGAAUUCCUAGUGUAGCGGUGAAAUGCGUAAAUAUUAGGAGGAACACCAGUGGCGAGGGCGGCUUUCUGGACAGUAACUGACGCUGAGGCGCGAAAGCGUGGGGAGCGAACAGGAUUAGAUACCCUGGUAGUCCACGCCGUAAACGAUGGAUACUAGGUGUGGGAGGUAUCGACCCCUUGCGUGCCGCAAUUAACACAAUAAUUAUCCCACCUGGGGAGUACGGCCGCAUGGUUGAAACUCAAAGGAAUUGACGGGGGCCCGCACAAGCGAUGGAGUAUGUGGAUUAGUUCAAAGCAACGCAAACAACCUUACCAGGGCUUGACAUAUGAUUGACGUAUCUAGAGAUAGGUAUUUCCUUCCGUACAAUGGAUACCUGUGGGGCAUGGUUGUCCUCAGCUCGUGUCGUGAGAGGUUGGGUUAAGUCCCGCAACGAGCGCUACCCCUGAUGUUACAUGCCAUCAUUAAGUUGGGUACUCUAACGAGAUUGCCGGUGACAAAUCGGAAGGAGGGUGGGGGACGACGUCAAAUCAUCGUGCCUCUUAUGUCCUGGGCUACACACGUACUAUGAUGGGCUAUUAAAGAGGGCAGCGCAGCCAUGGAGGUGGCUACACAUCAUCCACACAUAGUCCCCAGGUUCAGAUUGUAUGCUGAAAACUCGCCUACAUGAAGGUCUGGAACUGGCUAGUCAUGGCAUCGGUCAGC
rnacentral:rRNA from 1 species